CGGCCUGGCGGGCUGGUGGUGCUCACGGCCGGAGCGUGUAAAGGCAGGGGACCCCGGUGGACCCCCGGAUGUGGGCCCGGCUCAGCCAGGAACGAGUGAGUGCUAAAGCCCUUGUCUCAGGGCCAGCCUGCUCAAGUUUAAAGGAUUAAUCACCUUUCGACUUGCACAAUUCAGUGUUCUUUGUAUGCACAGGAGUUUUGCUUUCCUGCGCUGCUCUUCAGUUCUCCGUGCCAGUAGUGGUUUGGUCUGGAAUCAGUUGACCCUCCUGACCUACCCUCAGAAGGUCAACGGGAGCCUGAUGCUGCAUCACAAUGCCUAUGUCAUUCACCUCACUGCAUCCCAUCGCUAAGCGUUUUUAUCAUGUCACAUCAUCACAAGAAGGAUUCUCUGGCCAGAAAGACUGAUUUUUCUACGAAUGCCUCCACCACUGUAUGGAUCAAACAUGCAUCUGUACUUAAAUCUCAGGAUAAAAUCCACAAAAGGAGGAACUUCAUAGAACUACUCACCUCCUCUUUUCUGAGAAUAUACUCCUUACCAGAAUCUGUCUGCUUCUGUUGACAUUCCUGCACCUUCAUGCA